UUCCCUUCCACAAACUAUACUUCACUGUGCCUGCUCUUUUUAACUAUCUCCUACAUGACAUUUUAUCUAUCAAUUCCAGGAAUUUUACUAUCUCUCCUGCCUGGAAUUCACUGCUCCUUAACUUUCCCUCCUGUUUCCAUGAUCUUCCUUCAAGUCUAAGCCAAACUUGGACCUUCAGCAAAAAAAUCUUUCUUAAUUUUCCUUAAUUUUGUUACCUGCCCUCUAAGAUCACCAUGAAUUUAUUCUCUCUAUAUAAUAUGUAUAUAUAAUUGUUUUCAAGUUAUUUUUCCCAUUAUAUUAUGGGAUUUUUUUGGAGAAGGGAAUAUUUAUUUUCUUUUUUCAUACACUCAGAACUUAGCACACUGCUUGGUAUGUAGUGGAUGUUCAAUAAAUACUUGCUAAUGAAAGCUCUAAAACUUUUAUUUAUAGAGAACACUGAGAGGAAAGGGACUUGCCUCAGGGACUCCAUAACUAAUAUGCCAGUUUAAGGCCUCUAUUUUAGAUCUUCCUAGUUUCAAGGGUAACUAUACUGUCAAACUCCAGGUAGAAGAGAUAUAAAAAGUAUAGAGGUGGGAAAACAAAGGAGAUGUUUGGGACAACACAAAUUAACACAGUAUAGCUAGAUUAGGUUAUGGUGUUAAGAAACAUAAUAUGAAGAUCAGUAGGAAGGAAACAGAUCACACAAUAGUAGCAUGAAUCUCAGUAUAAAUCCAAUAAUUCUUCAUAACUUAAAGAGUUAUUCACAAAAGAACAGUUUUAAUAUAAGGCUUAAUAUAAGCCCAUUGUGACCCUUCUAAAAUUGAAGAAACCUAAAUAAGCCAGCUAAGAUCAAACUGAAGCAAUGUCAAAUUGAAAUCAAAUAUUGAACAAUUGCAUUUAAAAAUUACUAGUCAUGUAACAAUCAGUAAUAAAGGCAAGUCAUUUGAAGAAAAAAAUAAUUGUGGUGUUAGAUGAUAGAAAAAGAGCAGAAGAAGAAAGAAGGAAGGACAUAAGGAAUGAGGGAAGGAAGGAAAGAAGGAAGGAAGGAAGAAGGAAGAAAAGAAGGAAGGAAGGAAGGAAGGAAGGAAAGAAGGAAGGAAAAAGGAAGGAAGGAAGGAAAAAAGUAAGUAAGGAAGGAAAAAGUAAGGAAGGAAGGAAAAAAGGGAGGAAGGAAGGAAGGAAGGAAGGAAGGAAGGAAGGAAGGAAGGAAGGAAGGAAGGAAGGAAGGAAGGAAGGAAGGAAGGAAGGAAGGAAGGAAGGAAGGAAGGAAGGAAGGAAGGAAGGAAGGAAGGAAGGAAGGAAAGAAAGAAAGAAAAAUUUCUUUUAUAACCCAGCUGUCACAGGGGUAAUUACAAGUGUGUGAAGAGGAAGGAUUUUCAAAAGCAGAUAAAGUUGAGUUGAUUCACAAAAAGCUCAGAACCACCCUCAUUAAGCUUUACUGAAGAUCUAUGUCUUAAAGUUCAUUCUGAAGAUGAAAGUACUAGAAGAACAAAGAGGAAGAAGAGAAGGGAAGGGUGUUCUUAACACAUAAGAAUGUAAUCCAUUUAAAGGAAAAUAUAUGCAUA
rnacentral:lncRNA from 1 species